rnacentral:rRNA from 1 species
CUGGGCGUAAGCGCACGCAGGCGGUGUGUUAAGUCAGAUGUGAAAUCCCCCCUCUGGAGGCUGGGAACUGCAUUUGAAACUGGCAAGCUAGACUCUUGUAGAGGGGGGUAGAAUUCCAGGUGUAGCGGUGAAAUGCGUAGAGAUCUGGAGGAAUACCGGUGGCGAAGGCGGCCCCCUGGACAAAGACUGACGCUCAGGUGCGAAAGCGUGGGGAGCAAACAGGAUUAGAUACCCUGGUAGUCC